CCUACGGGAGGCAGCAGUGGGGAAUAUUGGACAAUGGGCGCAAGCCUGAUCCAGCCAUACCGCGUGGGUGAAGAAGGCCUUCGGGUUGUAAAGCCCUUUUGUUGGGAAAGAAAUCUUGCCGGUUAAUACCUGGCGAGGAUGACGGUACCCAAAGAUAGACCGUUCA
rnacentral:rRNA from 2 species